GCUUCCUGUUGCUGCUAGCCUCUGAUGCCCACCAUCCCCUGUCCUUAAUCCUAACCACACUUCUCUAUAGAGCCGCUUCAUGAAAGUCUCUUCGUUAAAACCUGAGAAGAUGGGGUGAAGUUUCUGACUGGAAGCAUAAGAAGAAUAACUAGAUAUCCUCUAUCCUCCUGUGUCUCUCAAAGCCCGUCCCCUGCAGAGACCAUGCAUCUUCCUUCACUCUUUCAUGCUGGAAGUGGUACAGCAGUCAGCUCCGUUGUGAAAGAGAAGAAACAUUGCUGAAAUAAUCAUGGACUGCUCCAUGGAAAAAUCAGGAACUGAGCUGGGACCUGAAAUAAGGCUUGGAAAGCUGAAAAAGAAGACAGGGCUGCACUCAGACCAAGGAAACAUUAGCAAAGGGAGGGGGUUAAGAAUGAAUAUGGUAUGUCCAUGGAAUAAUAAGAAGGCCAGUAGGACUUCAACAGUUCCCUAAAGUCAUGUUACAUGGAGAGGAUGUGAGUGGAUAUGGAGAGACUCAGAAGCCUGACAUGGAAUGUAGACUUGCUUCUAUGGAAAUAGGGUCACUUUUUAAAAAAUGAAGAUGAAACAAUGAAUAAUA